rnacentral:rRNA from 1 species
GACGAACGCUGGCGGCGUGCCUAACACAUGCAAGUCGAGCGGGGUUAUGGAGUAGCUUGCUACGAAGUAGCCUAGCGGCGGACGGGUGAGUAACGCGUGAGCAAUCUGCCUCAUACAGGGGGAUAACAGGUGGAAACACUUGCUAAUACCGCAUAAGACCACAGCACUGCAUGGUGCAGGGGUCAAAGGAGUAAAAUCCGGUAUGAGAUGAGCUCGCGUCCCAUUAGCUAGUUGGCGGGGUAACGGCCCACCAAGGCGACGAUGGGUAGCCGACCUGAGAGGGUGAUCGGCCACACUGGGACUGAGACACGGCCCAGACUCCUACGGGAGGCAGCAGUGGGGAAUAUUGCGCAAUGGGGGGAACCCUGACGCAGCAACGCCGCGUGAGUGAAGAAGGUCUUCGGAUCGUAAAACUCUGUCAUAGGGGAAGAAGGAGAUGACGGUACCCUAUGAGGAAGCCCCGGCUAACUACGUG